GACAGUUCUGCUCAGAAACAUAAAAUUUGUCUGAGCAAAAAGAGAAAGCACAGACUUCCGGGGCUAAAGAAGACAAAAACGGAAACAAACAACUUCAAUGUAAGAUGCACUGCAUUCAAAGCCCCUGAAAUCAAAUUCCUCAAACCCUCUCCUCCUUCCACACUCUCCCCCACAUCACUCCCUUCUUCCUCCUCUCCUUCCUCCUCCCUCUCUUCCUCCUCUUCCUGCUCCUCUCCCUCCUAUGUCUUUCCGUCCUCUUUCUACAACGUCCCUCCGUCCGCUGAAAAACAGGACCCUGUGACAUCACCGACACAGGACAACCUCUCUGUUAAGACUACUGAAAGCAGCAGAAAGCCAGAUUCAAGUCCCAAGCCGCCUCUGUUCAAAUUCAUGACAGUCCUGAAAGACAAAACCAAGAGGAAGCUUAAAAACUAGGUCUUGGUGAUCCAAUAGUAACCCAUAGCUCCUUUUCAUAGCCCCUACCUCUAAGCCCUAGCCACUACCUCUUUAGUGUUUACAGUUUGAGGUGUGUAAGCGAUAACACCGCAGAUGCACACAGUAAUGAAGCAUGUAUGCCUAUCUUUGAUCAAAUGAUUAUCUUGCUAUAUUGAGUGUGUU